UUACUUGAGCGUUUAAAGGAUAACAGUGUUAACAACCAUCUAAAUUUUACAAUUUAAAUUAUUCAAUUUGUUUAAAAAGUCAUACAGUAAAGUAAUAAAAGUUAUUAUUAACAGAAAAGCUUUAUUCAAUCUUCGCACAGUUGAAAUAAUUUUAUUUUUUGUUUAUUUAUUUCUUAGCAUUUUUUUCUCGAUUUCAUAAAAGCAAAUUAUAUUAUUAUAUUAUUUAUUGAGAAAUAUAAAAUAAUUUAGUUUGCAUCAUUUUUAAUUUGAUGAGCCAUAAAAACAGCUGAAGAAGCUGAUAAAAUUGGUCUUACAGAUUGUGACUACAUAUUAUUAAAAAUACUAAAUUGUCUAUUUAGUAUUUUUAAUGAAAUGAUUAAAAUUUCAAAAAAUUUUGAAACGAUAAAUACGAGUGUUGAAUUACAAAAUUAUAAAACAAGUAUGGCGACAAAUGGCGUCAAAAUGGAUCUUAUAAAAAAACUUACUCGAAGAAAAAAAACAUUUUAUGGUGGAUAAAACUAACAACUGAAAGAAAUCUCGAGAGCUACAGUCUGAAGUCCAAGACUCGCUUUGGCAUUGGAGGGUGAGCGGUCACUGGGGAUUACGCUAGUAAUAUAUAUAUAUAUAUAUAUAUAUAUAUAUAUAUAUAUAUAUAUAUAUAUAUAUAUAUAUAUAUAUAUAUAAAUAUUGUAUAUAACCUUGUUGGAUAUACAUGUUACGCGUAAAAAUCCAACAAUUCUUAUCAAAGUAGUCAAUCGUUUUGGAGUCUACCUAUUUUCAAUGGCAUCCAUUUGUAAAAACAUCACUGUCAAAGUAGCCAGGAAAUAUAGUUGGUGAUAUACCCAAUCACGAUCAUGCAGGAAGUGUAGCUGUAGUGAAUACUAAAAUUUUGAAAAAACAAAAUAGUAAAGAAAGCUCAAAAAAGUGAUAAUAAACCAGCUACCAUAAUAUCCAAUGCAUUACUUGGCGCAUUUUCACCUGUGACUGCGUUAAUGCCUAAACCUCAAUCUAUAUCACGAACUAUUAAUCUUAUUCGUAUGGAAAAAAAUCCUCAGUUCCACAACCCAACAUCUCGAGGUAGUAACGGGGUGGAAUAGCAUUCCGUUUGAAUUUAAUUCCGACUUGCGCCAAAAGAUCCGGCUUCCUUCUUCAACAACUGUCAAUAUGGAAGAAAGUAUAGCAACUUAUGCCGGGGUCGCUGUGGUCGAGUUCCUUGAAAUUUGGUUUUAUGGGUCGGCCAGCCUGAGUUGAAAGAGGUACGAGGCCCAGAGACAACGAGUAGUCGGUCUCUUGGUUCGCAGCAACUGCCGUGGACGGACGAGUUCUACUACUACUCCUACUACUACCACUAUUUUCACAUCUACAAGUACUUAUAUUUAUACACGUGCUGUUAACCAUUGUCAUCCUCGUUAAGGGCUAAGAGCAUAUAAGCCCACCUGAGGUGGAAGCUUAUUUUAAUUGAGUUUAUUAUAAUUAUAAUCUAAAAAUUGUUAUCGUCGAAAGUUGGACCUGGUAAAUUUAAUGGAUUGAGAACUUGUUACUUGGGACUCUCGAGGUUUAUUGGUCUAAGGAAGGAGUUUCGUCUGAAUGAAGGACUGGUGGAUUUGUUCGAGUAAAGUUAGUCGUUAUAUAUUGUCGGGUUAUUUAAUAGUGUAAAUUUUAUUAUGAUUUAUUAAGUCAGUUUAUCACCAAAUUAGAUCAGUCGAGUCAGUUUCAUCAGCCACCCGGAAAACUCUUGUUCAUCUUUCAUCAUUUAUUAUUUGUAAAGCCACUUCGUUUUAAUAAAUGCCAUA